GUGCAACGACUGUGUCAUUCAUUUAAAGUGCAUUUCUAUAUUGGUCUGAUUGAAAAUCAUGCUUUCUGGUUUAAACCAGUUUUUUUCACUUUGCUUUAAAGCAAAUAAUACUCCCCCUGGAGUAAAGUAAAGCAAUAAUUUAACUCAAAUAGUAUUUUCACUUCAAACCAGAGAUUUUCAUGUCACGUGACCACAUGACGUCACAUCAGCUCGCUCCUUCCUGAAGUGUGCUGUCCGCCAUUACCUCGCUUCAACAGAGAGGACGACUGCUGUUCAAGAAGACUCUUUUAAACAAGCAUAAUCAAAAAUGAUGAGAAUGGAUUGAGUACUAGACGGUUUGCUGUUGUUUCAUGAAAAGGUCACAAUUUAGCCACAUUGCUGAAUUUGAUCCUUUUGGAUGGGCUGCCAUGGCCGUGAAAAGGCCAGCCAAGUUGCGAGUUAUUCUGAAUUCUGAUGACACCAGGAAGCUAAUUCUGCCUGAUGGAAUACCAGAGUCAAUGGAGCAGCUUAUGAAUGAAGUCAGGGAAGUAUGUGGAUUAUAUGGGAAUUUUAGACUGCAGUACCAAGACAGAGACUUUGGAGAUGCACUAGUGAACUUGACAUCUACUGCGGAACUUGAGGAUUUUGCAACCGUCAAGGUCGUCCCCAUAACUGAUGAUUGCAGCCAAGAAUUUAUUCUCACUUUCUGUGAUGAUUUAGUGUCAACUCAAUCAGAUGACACAGAGCUCCUGUCCACACCCUCCAGCACUGUCUCUACAAGAACUCAGAUGUGGCCAAGAUAAUUUCCAAUACCAACAUUUUCCUAUGACACUGAACUGCAGUUAGGAAAGGGAAAUGCCGUGUAUAGGUCAAACAAGACAAGGUUGACACUGAGUUCAAAAACAAAUUCAGAUAUUCUGGAAAAGGUAGCUGAAGAGAUAUUCAAGUACAAAGCCUACCCAACAGAUGCUGACUUCAGUGACAUUGCCGAAACACUAAUCAAGAAGCAUCCAUGCCUCUCUGAGCCUGGUUCGUACAACGGUUGCUACGGGUGGAAGCAGCGACUGAAGACAAAAAUGUGCAACUACCGAACUCAGCUCAAGGGCAUCGGG